GACGAACGCUGGCGGCGUGCUUAACACAUGCAAGUCGAACGGUAAGGCCCUUUGGGGUACACGAGUGGCGAACGGGUGAGUAACACGUGGGUGAUCUGCCCUGCACUUCGGGAUAAGCCUGGGAAACUGGGUCUAAUACCGGAUAGGACCACUGCCUGCAUGGGUGGUGGUGGAAAGCUUUUGCGGUGUGGGAGGGUCCCGCGGCCUAUCAGCUUGUUGGUGGGGUGAUGGCCUACCAAGGCGACGACGGGUAGCCGGCCUGAGAGGGUGACCAGCCACACUGGGACUGAGAUACGGCCCAGACUCCUACGGGAGGCAGCAGUGGGGAAUAUUGCACAAUGGGCGCAAGCCUGAUGCAGCGACGCCGCGUGAGGGAUGACGGCCUUCGGGUUGUAAACCUCUUUCAGCACCGACGAAGCGCAAGUGACGGUAGGUGCAGAAGAAGGACCGGCCAACUACGUGCCAGCCGCCGCAGUAA
rnacentral:rRNA from 1 species